AGUGAACGCUGGCGGUAGGCCUAACACAUGCAAGUCGAACGGCAGCACAGAGGAGCUUGCUCCUUGGGUGGCGAGUGGCGGACGGGUGAGGAAUACAUCGGAAUCUACUCUGUCGUGGGGGAUAACGUAGGGAAACUUACGCUAAUACCGCAUACGGCCUACGGGUGAAAGCAGGGGAUCUUCGGACCUUGCGCGAUUGAAUGCGCCGAUGUCGGAUUAGCUAGUUGGCGGGGUAAAGGCCCACCAAGGCGACGAUCCGUAGCUGGUCUGAGAGGAUGAUCAGCCACACUGGAACUGAGACACGGUCCAGACUCCUACGGGAGGCAGCAGUGGGGAAUAUUGGACAAUGGGCGCAAGCCUGAUCCAGCCAUACCGCGUGGGUGAAGAAGGCCUUCGGGUUGUAAAGCCCUUUUGUUGGGAAAGAAAUCCAUCUGGUUAAUACCCGGGUGGGAUGACGGUACCCAAAGAAUAAGCACCGGCUAACUUCGUGCCAGCAGCCGCAGUAA
rnacentral:rRNA from 1 species